UACGAAGGGGGCUAGCGUUGUUCGGAAUCACUGGGCGUAAAGCGCACGCAGGCGGAUUGAUAAGUCAGGGGUGAAAUCCCGGAGCUCAACUCCGGAACUGCCUUUGAUACUGGCAAUCUUGAGGCUGGAAGAGGUUAGUGGAAUUCCCAGUGUAGAGGUGAAAUUCGUAGAUAUUGGGAAGAACACCAGUGGCGAAGGCGGCUAACUGGUCCAGAUCUGACGCUGAGGUGCGAAAGCGUGGGGAGCAAACAGG
rnacentral:rRNA from 1 species